CUUAGAUAAGAAUAGUAAACCUAGUGAGGUUUUGUCUGAUUGACGUUUAUUUUAUUACAUGAUCGUCUAUGCCAACGAUGAUAUCUGAAGACGCGAGUCAAGGGCAUAAGUAGGAUUUCUCCGAAGUACAAGUACCAAAGCUAAGAUUUCCAGGAUGAGCAAGGAGAGAGAGAUUGGGGGAUCGCUGGAGGGCUGUUGUUCAUAGACGACCUUUUGAGUACCGUAUUUUACUACUAUACGGUUGUGCGUAUAGUCGAAGACUAUGUUCUUGAAACUUAAUUAGGAUUGUUACUCUCAGCUAUAUGUCUUCAUACAUAUAGUCUGAUCACGUUUUGCUGUGCUACUCUGAGCAAUAUGAAUCAUUGUAAAUAUUUAGCUAUACUCCCUUUGUUUUUGUUGACUAGAACCUUGAUACAUUUGAAUAAGUGAAGCCGAUAAUGUUUCUAUUAA